ACAAACCUGAUCCAGUUGCCUGGAGAUUCUUGUGCACCGCUGGCUUUAACUUGAAGGCCUCUGGAUUACUAGUCUAGCAACAAAACCACAACUACUGUACCCGUCUAGACAAGGACGGACACUUUAAAGGCAUACUUCACUGAUGAAACUGGCUGGUGCCUGAAAAGGAGAACUGCAAAUGGACCAUCAGAAGAGGGUGAAUUGGGGCUUCAUGUAAAUUGCAAGAGGAUCAUCUGGGGCAGCAGCUGGCAAACAGUAGGAGGUAUCUCCCAAGUAACAAUUCCAACAUGCCAUGUCAUAGCAGAAGUUGACAUCUCAGUACUUAGGUCAAACGAUGUUAGCACGUAGAAGGAAGGAAGAGGGAUGACUGGAGGUGGCAGUGGUGGAGGAGGAACCUGCUGGCUGUGUGUAUAUCAUUGUACACACUUGAUUCUUUUCAGGAAUUCCUGUUCCUUGAAGGAAUACAUAAGGAUAAAAUAGCAGGAUCCAGUUUGAAAAGCUCCCAGACACUUUGAAGACUUUAUACUGGGCCUG